rnacentral:lncRNA from 1 species
CUAGAGAUUGCUCACUUCCACUAUAGCCAUUCAAAGAAGAUUGAGUGGAUUCUUAGAAGAUAACAAUGAGCCGUUUCUGAUGUCGAAGUGGGGCCCACACAUGUUUGUGCCAACAUAGAAGAAGAGACAUCAGGAGGCCAGCUGAACGUGGGCUGCUGGACUCCCUCUGUGCUGUCCAAUGUCCUGACCUCUGCUGUGAGAUAAUGUCUGGAUUGAAGAGGCAGGGAAGGAGGUUCAAGACUGCACCAGGGGAGGACAGACUGCAUCUUCAG